CCAGAGGUGGCGGAGCGGCCAAUCGCACUAGACUGUAAAUCUAGCGGGGUAACCCUACGGAGGUUCGAAUCCUCCCCUCUGGA
rnacentral:tRNA from 1 species